UACGUAGGGGGCAAGCGUUGUCCGGAAUCAUUGGGCGUAAAGAGCGUGUAGGCGGCCCGGUAAGUCCGCUGUGAAAGUCCAGGGCUCAACCCUGGGAUGCCGGUGGAUACUGUCGGGCUCGAGUCCGGAAGAGGAGUGUGGAAUCCCUGGUGUAGCGGUGAAAUGCGCAGAUAUCAGGAGGAACACCAAUGGCGAAGGCAGCACUCUGGGACGUGACUGACGCUGAGACGCGAAAGCGUGGGGAGCAAACAGG
rnacentral:rRNA from 1 species